rnacentral:rRNA from 1 species
GGGUUACCUACCUCACCUCGCGACGGCUGAGUCACGCGUGGUAACGUACCUUUUGGUUCGGAACAGCACACGGAAACUUGUGCUAGUGCCGGACAAGCCCUUACAGCGAAAGAUUUAUCGUCGAAAGAUCGGGCCGCGUCUGAUUAGCUAUGUGGCGAGGUUUUGACUCUCCAAGGCGACCAUCCCUAUCUGGCCUGAUAGGAUGAUCAUCCACAUUGGGACUGAGACACGGCCCAAACUCCUACGGGAGGUUGCCGUGGUCAAUAUUGUACAAUGGGGGCAACCCUGAUCCACCCCUGCCGCGUGAGUGAUGAAGGCCCUAGGCUUGUAAAGCUCUUUUGUCCCGUAAGAUAAUUUCGGUACCGCUCGAAUAAGCCCCGGUUAACUUCGUGCUAGCAGCCGCGGUAAUACGAAGGGGGCUAGCGUUGCUCGUAAUCACUGGCCGUACAGGGUGUGUAGGCGGCUCUUUAAGUCAUGCGUGAUAUCCUGGAGUUCAACUCCAGAACUGCCUUUGAUACUGAGGACCUUGAAUUCCUUAGAGGUGAGUGUUACUGCCAGUGUCCCCGUGAAAUUCUGUAUAUAUUCGCAAGAACACCCACUGGUGAGGGAAGCUCACCUGGCCCCGAUACUGUACGCUGUUUACACGCAAAGCACUGGCCGAGCAAAACCGGAAUUUAGGAUUUGCUUGGGUAAGUCCAUCUCCCGGUAAACAGAAUGAAAAGUCACCCCCGCUUAAGUGGGGGUUUACCUCCCACUAAUUGG